ensembl:misc_RNA Y_RNA Y RNA
AGCUGGUCCAAGUGCAGUGGUAUUUACAACUAAUUAAUUGAUCACAACUAGUUAUAGAUUCCUUUGUUCCUGCUCCCACUGCUUCACUUGACUAGCCAAAA